UACGGGGGGAGCAAGCGUUGUUCGGAUUUACUGGGCGUAAAGAGCGUGUAGGCGGCCCGGUAAGUCCGCUGUGAAAGUCGGGGGCUCAACCCUCGAAUGCCGGUGGAUACUGUCGGGCUAGAGUGCGGAAGAGGCGAGUGGAAUUCCUGGUGUAGCGGUGAAAUGCGUAGAUAUCAGGAGGAACACCUGUGGUGUAGACAGCUUACUGGACCACUUCUGACGCUGAGGCACGAAAGCGUGGGUAGCAAACAGG
rnacentral:rRNA from 1 species